UACGUAGGGUGCGAGCGUUUGUCCGGAAUUAUUGGGCGUAAAGAGCUUGUAGGCGGUUUGUCGCGUCUGCUGUGAAAUUCCAGGGCUUAACCCUGGGCUUGCAGUGGGUACGGGCAGACUAGAGUGCGGUAGGGGAGAUUGGAAUUCCUGGUGUAGCGGUGGAAUGCGCAGAUAUCAGGAGGAACACCGAUGGCGAAGGCAGAUCUCUGGGCCGUAACUGACGCUGAGGAGCGAAAGCAUGGGGAGCGAACAGG
rnacentral:rRNA from 1 species